GAUGAAGAACGUAGCGAAAUGCGAUAAGUAAUGCGAAUUGCAGAAUUCCAGUGAGUCAUCGAAUCCUUGAACGCACAUUGCGCCCUUUGGUAUUCCGAAGGGCAUGCCUGUUCGAGCGUCAUUAUCACCCCUCAAGCCCUCGGCUUGGUGUUGGACGGUUUGGUGGAGGCCCCCUCGGGGGCUCCUGCCCCUCCCAAAGACAAUGACGGCGGCCUCGUUGGACCCCCGGUACACUGAGUUCUUCACGGGACACGUAUCGGACACAUGGGUUUACGGGACACGGUCUGCCUCCCCUCAGGGAGAAUCUUUCUAAGGUUGACCUCGGAUCAGGUAGGGAUACCCGCUGAACUUAAGCAUAUCAAUAAGCGGAGGA
rnacentral:misc_RNA from 1 species